GUUCUGUUUUCAUCUAUAGUCUUUUUCAGAAAAGUUCUAAUUGUUUUGGGUAGGUCUCAAUUACAAUUUUACACUCUAGCAUUCGGCAUCAGUUAAAAGCUUCUGGAAUAAAGUGGUGGCUAUGGUGUACUGUUUUGUGCUUGUGCGUAUGUGUGUUUGUGUUAGGCGUUAUUACACUUCUUUCAUGUAUUUGUCUUAAGGGGUCGAGUAAAGCAGAUAAGUUACAUCAGCUUUCUGCUUCAUUUGAGUUCUGGCAUAAUGUUAUACACCAUAUCGAUCUUAGAAACAAAUGCCUUUACGAGUAGAAGGACGAAUGCUGUUGGGCAUUUUUUAUGCAUACCACAACUUGAAACAGUGUAUUCUUGACAGCACAAUUAAUGUUUU
rnacentral:lncRNA from 1 species